UUCCGGUUGAUCCUGCCGGACCCUACUGCUAUCGGGAUGGGACUAAGACAUGCUAGUCGAGCGCCUCCUAGCCACGCUGGAGGCGCGGCACACAGCUCAGUAACACGUGGCUAACCUGCCCUUGGGACGGAAACAUCCCCGGGAAACUGGGGCCAAUUUCCGAUAGGCGAAGGUCUCUGGAACGAGUCUUCACCCAAAAGACGUUUGGGGCAUGCUCCUAGACGUUGCCCAAGGAUGGGGCCGCGGCCGAUCAGGUUGUUGGUGAGGUAACGGCUCACCAAGCCUAUUACCGGUACGGCCGUGGGAGCGGUAGCCCGGAGAUGGGCACUGAGACAAGGGCCCAGGCCCUACGGGGCGCAGCAGUCGCGAAAACUUCGCAAUAAGCGAAAGCUUGACGAGGCCAUCCCGAGUGCCAUCUGCUGAGGAUGGCUUUUACCUAGUAUAGAUAGCUAGGGGAAUAAGGAGAGGGCAAGUCUGGUGUCAGCCGCCGCGGUAAUACCAGCUCUCCGAGUUGUGGGGACAUUUAUUGGGCCUAAAGCAUCCGUAGCCGGCUGAACAAGUCCCCUGUUAAAUCCAGCGACGAAUCGUUGGCCUGCGGGGGAUACUGUUCGGCUAGGGGGCGGGAGAGGCCGUCGGUAUUCUUGGGGUAGGGGUGAAAUCCUAUAAUCCCAGGAGGACCACCAGUGGCGAAGGCUGUCGGCUAGAACGCGCCCGACGGUGAGGGAUGAAAGCUGGGGGAGCGAACCGGAUUAGAUACCCGGGUAGUCCCAGCUGUAAACGAUGCAGGCUAGGUGUUAGGGCGGCUACGUGCCGCUCUAGUGCCGCAGGAAGCUGUUAAGCCUGCCGCCUGGGGAGUACGGCCGCAAGGCUGAAACUUAAAGGAAUUGGCGGG
rnacentral:rRNA from 1 species